rnacentral:rRNA from 1 species
UACGUAGGGGGCAAGCGUUGUCCGGAUUUAUUGGGCGUAAAGAGCGUGUAGGCGGCCUGACAGGUCUGCUGUGAAAACUCGAGGCUCAACCUCGAGAUGUCGGCGGAAACCGUCUGGCUAGAGUCCGGAAGAGGAGAGUGGAAUUCCUGGUGUAGCGGUGAAAUGCGCAGAUAUCAGGAGGAACACCGGUGGCGAAGGCGGAUCUCUGGGCCUUGCCUGACGCUGAGGCGCGAAAGCUAGGGGAGCGAACAGG